rnacentral:rRNA from 1 species
CCUACGGGGGGCAGCAGUGAGGAAUAUUGGUCAAUGGACGAGAGUCUGAACCAGCCAAGUAGCGUGAAGGAUGACUGCCCUAUGGGUUGUAAACUUCUUUUAUAUGGGAAUAAAAUGUUCCACGUGUGGGAUUUUGUAUGUACCAUAUGAAUAAGGAUCGGCUAACUCCGUGCCAGCAGCCGCGGUAAUACGGAGGAUCCGAGAGUUAUCCGGAUUUAUUGGGUUUAAAGGGAGCGUAGGUGGAUUGUUAAGUCAGUUGUGAAAGUUUGCGGCUCAACCGUAAAAUUGCAGUUGAAACUGGCAGUCUUGAGUACAGUAGAGGUGGGCGGAAGUCGUGGUGUAGCGGUGAAAUGCUUAGAUAUCACGAAGAACUCCGAUUGCGAAGGCAGUUCACUGGACUGCAACUGACACUGAGGCUCGAAAGUGUGGGUAUCAAACAGGAUUAGAUACCCGAGUAGUC